GGGAGUAUAGAACGUAAUGGGUAGCGUCCCUGGUUGUAACCCAGGCAUGCGAAAGCAUCUUGGAGGUUCAAGUCCUUCUGCUCCCACCA
rnacentral:tRNA from 1 species